rnacentral:rRNA from 1 species
AUUGAACGCUGGCGGCAUGCCUUACACGUGCAAGUCGAACGGCAGCACGGGAGCAAUCCUGGUGGCGAGUGGCGAACGGGUGAGUAAUGUAUCGGAACGUGCCCAGUCGUGGGGGAUAACGUAGCGAAAGCUACGCUAAUACCGCAUACGAUCUAUGGAUGAAAGCGGGGGAUCGCAAGACCUCGCGCGAUUGGAGCAGCCGGUAUCAGAUUAGGUAGUUGGUGGGGUAAAGGCUCACCAAGCCGACGAUCUGUAGCUGGUCUGAGAGGACGACCAGCCACACUGGGACUGAGACACGGCCCAGACUCCUACGGGAGGCAGCAGUGGGGAAUUUUGGACAAUGGGCGCAAGCCUGAUCCAGCAAUGCCGCGUGCAGGAUGAAGGCCUUCGGGUUGUAAACUGCUUUUGUACGGAACGAAACGGCGAGCUCUAAUACAGUUUGCUAAUGACGGUACCGUAAGAAUAAGCACCGGCUAACUACGUGCCAGCCGCCGCCGUAA